AUGUAAGUACUAUAUUCAUUUUCAGCGAACACCAGGAGUUAGAAUGACAACGAACACCCAACAGUGAAAGGAAUUGAGCUUGGUCCAGGCACCUCUCAGCGUCUGAUUUGGAGGCUCACUCACACCUUGCCUACGUCGUCACACCAUACCACGACACCUGGGUAGCGGUAGGGAGAACAUGAGGGAUGUGAUUCACACAUCGAGGGGGUCCCUGGCGAAGAUGCUACACGGAUACUGUUUUCAAGAAGGCUUCGAGGAUCUCUGUUCAAAAUCUGCAACUGUCGUAGAUUAAUGAAAUGUUACCGGACAAAUAGCUGUGUAUAGAGUUU